rnacentral:rRNA from 1 species
AGAUAAUAGACUACCGGGUAGUCCUGGCCCUAAACGAUGUCUACUAGAUCGUGGCGGCACUGACGCCGUCAUGGUCGAAAGCAAAAGUGUUAAGUAGACCGCCUGGGGAAGUACGGUCGCAAGGCUAAAACUCAAAGAAAUUGACGGGGGCUCACACAAGCGGUGGAGCAUGUGGUUCAAUUCGAAGCAACGCGAAGAACCUUACCUGGGCUUGACAUGCUAGGAUUAUCUUGAUGAAAGUCGAGUAGGCCCCGCAAGGGGUACAACUAGUACAGGUGCUGCAUGGCUGUCGUCAGCUCGUGUCGUGAGAUGUCGGGUUAAGUCCCUUAACGAGCGAAACCUUUGCCCUUAGUUGCCAUCGGGUUAUGCCGGGCACUCUAAC